rnacentral:lncRNA from 1 species
GUUGCUUGCAUUAACUCACAUAAAUCAGUGAAUAUGUACACCUCUUUUCUGCCAUUUUGUGUGAAAAUAAGAAAUUUUCCUGUGUCCACUUGGUGAAGUGUGUUUUUAUUUCAGGGACUGUUUACAUUCAAGGAUGUGGCCAUAGAAUUCUCUCAAGAGGAGUGGGAGUGCCUGGACCCUGCCCAGAGGGCCUUGUACAGGGACGUGAUGUUGGAGAACUACAGGAACCUGCUUUCUCUCGAUGAGGAUAACAUCCCUCCAGAAGAUGGUAACCACCCUUGUACAUCUUUACAUUUUUCCUUGUGAGUCUCUUGGGAGGCCCUGAUGUGCUUGUCUGAAUCCGAUCCCUGUUCUAAAAGGGGAGAUUGAAACUUUUUGAUUGAGAGUGGAAAGGCUUCAUAAUGUAGCAUAUAGACUUUAAACUUCCCCUUUCUUCAGAAGUUCUGCGCAUAAUCAGGUUUGACGAGUGGUGGUUCCAGAAUAUCAGUACUUACAAAACCUUAUGGAAAACGUUUUAAAGUGUCUGGUAUCAUGGUUUUAUCCCUGUGCCUUUGAUUCAGUAGUUUUUUCAGAGUCUGCAUAUUUAAAAUAAUCCCUAAGCAUUCAGAAGAAGGCAGUCCGUUGACUAAUUUAUGAAAUUGUUUUGGGAAAUAGUUUUGCAGACCCAUGUGUAAUGUCCUCUCUUCGUAGCUGAACAAAGGGCUGGGAAUGUAUCCAGGAAAAGCACAGCAUACCAUGUUCCUUUUUUUCUUUAUAAGUUGAAAUCUUUCCUGAGCUGAAUAUUGUGUUCAUUUUGGAGCACAGGAAAGAGUCCUAGACUAUGGAAAGUGAAGUGAAAAUAGGGAAAAAAUCAGGUAGGUCGGAAUGUGAGCACAAAUAAGCGCUCAGAUGGCCACAGAGUAAGCUACUCCAUUGAGUAUUGUUUGGGAAACUCUGCAAAUGGGAAAGAUCAGUGGGAAAACAAAAGUUUAUUUCUUAUGAGCUCUCAAAGCAAGGUCCACACCCGCUCCUACUGUCCCCCAACAUACUGUUAUUCAAAUGUGUAAAAGGUUGAACUCCCACUCUCCCGUGAUGCCCCAACUCAUACAGACACAAAAGCAAAGGUGCUAUCAUGACCUACAAUACUGUUUGGCCCCUCUGACCAUUUUGGUCUCUUGGUUUUGAGAGGGACCGAAAUGGCUGUUUUUAAGGACUCUCUUUUAGUGUAUAUAAUUUCAUCUGAUGUGUGGUUUUCAGUCUAUACAGAUCAGAGCUGGGGCCUUUGUAGCCCUGGCUCCAGAACCUAUUCAAUUUCUAUUCCUAUUUCUUAUACCUGCAAGAACUUUUCAGGAAAAUGGGAAAACAGUGGCUCCCCCAAAAUGUAUCUGGGGUUCCCUGAAAUUUGAAAGACUGUCGGUCUCUCUACUUGUUCAAGCCCCUUGGCCAUUCCUUCAGUUCUGCUUUUGCCACAUGUGUCUAAAGGGGAAUGGGCAGGCUUUUGAGAUUGUUACUCAGCAUUAAUGUAAAGACUUGACAGAGAGAUCCUCUUUUUGAUUGCCAUUCCAAAAUGGGAAUAUAUCUCAUUCUUUUAGGUUCUCACCUUGCAGCCUGUGGACAGAGCACACUGCCUCUUCCUUAGAAUCCUACAAAAUCCGACCCUUUUAUUUUACUCCCGUACCUUUUAUUUCUCUCCCUUUUCUAGCUUUCUACUCUAUCCGGGAACUUAGGGAGACCUUAGUCUUCCUGAUUCCAUAUUCUUCUAAGAUUUGCCUCUGAAAGUUGCUUUUGAAAUACACAUUCCGGAUGGGCGUGGUGCCUCACG